CAUGCAAGUCGAGGGGUAGAGGAAGCUUGCUUCCUUGAGACCGGCGCACGGGUGUGUAACGCGUAUGCAAUCUACCUUGUACUGAGGAAUAGCCCAGAGAAAUUUGGAUUAAUACCUCAUAGCAUUAUGAAAUCGCAUGGUUUUAUAAUUAAAGUUCCAACGGUACAAGAUGAGCAUGCGUCCCAUUAGUUAGUUGGUAAGGUAACGGCUUACCAAGACGAUGAUGGGUAGGGGUCCUGAGAGGGAGAUCCCCCACACUGGUACUGAGACACGGACCAGACUCCUACGGGAGGCAGCAGUGAGGAAUAUUGGUCAAUGGACGCAAGUCUGAACCAGCCAUGCCGCGUGCAGGAUGAAGCAUCUAUGGUGUGUAAACUGCUUUUGUACGGGAAGAAACACUCCUACGUGUAGGAGCUUGACGGUACCGUAAGAAUAAGGAUCGGCUAACUCCGUGCCAGCAGCCGCGGUAAUACGGAGGAUCCAAGCGUUAUCCGGAAUCAUUGGGUUUAAAGGGUCCGUAGGCGGCUCUAUAAGUCAGUGGUGAAAGCCCAUCGCUUAACGAUGGAACGGCCAUUGAUACUGUAGAGCUUGAAUUACUUGGAAGUAACUAGAAUAUGUAGUGUAGCGGUGAAAUGCUUAGAUAUUACAUGGAAUACCAAUUGCGAAGGCAGGUUACUACAAGUGGAUUGACGCUGAUGGACGAAAGCGUGGGGAGCGAACAGGAUUAGAUACCCUGGUAGUCCACGCCGUAAACGAUGGAUACUAGCUGUUCGGAGCAAUCUGAGUGGCUAAGCGAAAGUGAUAAGUAUCCCACCUGGGGAGUACGCACGCAAGUGUGAAACUCAAAGGAAUUGACGGGGGCCCGCACAAGCGGAGACAUGUGGUUUAAUUCGAUGAUACGCGAGGAACCUUACCAGGGCUUAAAUGGGAACGACAGUUUGGGAAACCAAUUUUCUUCGGAGUCUUUCAAGG
rnacentral:rRNA from 1 species